rnacentral:lncRNA from 1 species
GCUUCCAAGCAGAGCCCGCUGAAUCAAAGUUGGGUUUCCGGAAGAUCACGGAGUUCAGUGAGCACUCAACCUCUAUCAGACAGACUGCAUGGGCAGUGCCUUCCUGGAGAGGAGAAAACAGCGGGAUGACUAUCCUUGACCAACCCCCACCUCCAAUAUGACAGUUUAUUUUCAAGGCUGUCAUCUCUGUGGCCUGCCUCCCCUUUUCCUUCACCCUGCCAGCUGCCUCUCAGUGACUGUCUCCUCCAGUGACUACACUGAGGCACCAGGGUCUGCUUGCCUCCCAAGGCUGCUCAGACCUUCUGACGUUGCAAAAUAAUUGUCAAAAGAUGGGUCUGCAAAGAGUAACUUCCCUUCCACUGAUCAAACCUGAAUAUGCAAGCUACUGUAAAUUAACUGGAAAAGUGGCCAUGUGGGCUGGUGCUUUGGUGGUUUAAUGAAUUAAGUCUGCAACCCCCA